GGAGUUAGCCGGUGCUUCUUCUGUGAGUGAUGUCCUUCCUGCCGGUUAUUGACCCGCAGGCCUUCUUCCUCACUGAAAGUGCUUUACAACCCGAAGGCCUUCUUCACACACGCGGCAUGGCUGGAUCAGGGUUGCCCCCAUUGUCCAAUAUUCCCCACUGCUGCCUCCCGUAGGAGUCUGGGCCGUGUCUCAGUCCCAGUGUGGCUGAUCAUCCUCUCAGACCAGCUACGGAUCGUCGCCUUGGUGAGCCGUUACCUCACCAACCAGCUAAUCCGACAUAGGCUCAUCCGAUAGCGCGAGGCCCGAAGGUCCCCCGCUUUCCCCCGUAGGGCGUAUGCGGUAUUAGCCUGGGUUUCCCCAGGUUAUCCCCCACUACCGGGCAGAUUCCUAUGCAUUACUCACCCGUCCGCCGCUCGCCACCAGGGAGCAAGCUCCCCGUGCUGCCGCUCGACUUGCAUGUGUUAGGCCUGCCGCCAGCGUUCAUCUGAGCCAGAAUACAACUACUGA
rnacentral:rRNA from 1 species